rnacentral:rRNA from 1 species
AACGUAGGAGACGAGCGUUAUCCGGAUUUACUGGGCGUAAAGCGCGUGCAGGCGGUUUAGCAAGUGACUUGUGAAAGCGACCGGCUCAACUGGGUGAGGCCGUGUGAGACUGCUGAACUAGAGAGAGGUAGAGGCGAAUGGAAUUUCGGGUGGAGUGGUGAAAUGCGUAGAGAUCCGGAGGAACACCAGUGGCGAAGUCGAUUCGCUGGGCCUACUCUGACGCUCAGACGCGAAAGCAUGGGGAGCGAACGGG